UACGUAGGGGGCAAGCGUUGUCCGGAAUCAUUGGGCUAAAGAGCGUGUAGGCGGCCAGAUAAGUCCGCUGUGAAAUCUCGAGGCUCAACUUCGAGCUGUCGGUGGAAACUGUCUGGCUAGAGUCCGGAAGAGGAGAAUGGAAUUCCUGGUGUAGCGGUGAAAUGCGCAGAUAUCAGGAAGAACACCCGUGGCGAAGGCGGUUCUCUGGGACGGUACUGAGCUGAGACGCGAAAACGUGGGGGAGCGAACAGG
rnacentral:rRNA from 1 species